rfam:Daphnia magna strain Xinb3 contig44305, whole genome shotgun sequence.
GGUUCUAUGGUGGAACAAGCAAUUCAAACUCCGACUCUGAUAAUCUGAGUUCAAAUCUCGGUAGAACCU